CGCCAAUUUGGAAUAUCUCUUUUUUUUUUAAAGGAGACUUACACUACAAGAAAAAGGUCAAUAGACAUCAUAGAUUAGACAUCAGUCACCCGUGCCACUGAUGUUAAAAACAUUUUUAACAUCACCCCAUUUUUAAACCAUGUCUAUAGUCUUUUAAAACAUCACAUGAUUUUAAACCGAUGUCUAAAAAAUCAUUAAAAAUUUUCAACGCGCGGGCCAUCCAACAUUUUCCCCCCUUAGUCAAAAAACAUCCCGCUUAUUAUCAAAAUAUUCCCCUCCUUAGAUAAAAAUUGGAUUCCCCCCGUUUUUUGCCCUUUUGAGACAUAAUUUAAACAAAAAUAAAAUCUAAAAUCAAAACUAAUAACUAAAUCUAAAAUUAAAACUCUCUCAAUACUCUCAUCUCUCUCGACACACUUAUCUCUCUCGACACACUGUCUUUCUCUCGCGACUCAGCUCACCCUUGCUCCACCGGUCACGACCGCUCCUCUCCGCUUAUCUCCUGCAAACACUUUGUGACAGCCCUCCACUCACCUUGACUGAAGUCCACUCAUCACCUCCACUGCAACCGCACUCACCUCUGCUCUUCACCUCCGGUAUUUUCUACUCUCUACUCAACUUGGUAAGUUUGAAUUUUCACCUCCGAUAUUCUCUACUCUCUACUCAACUUGAUAAGUUUGAAUCGAACUGGGUAAGUCUUCUCCGCUCAUCUCUUGGUUAAAUCGAAAUCCUAACUUUGUAAAUUUGGGGUUUUUUCAAAUCGAAACCCUAAUUUUGUAAAUUUGGGGUUUUUUCAAAUCAAAACCCUAAUUAACUUCUCUGCCUUUGAAUUUGCUGCAGGACCUUUCUUGGAUACGGUUGUGGAAUUAAAACUUCAAGCACCACAGGACGAAGAUGCUACAGAUCUCGAACGUGCAACUUUUGCGCUAUUCAUGCUGCCUGACUGGUACUUCUAAUUGCAAGAGCACAUAUGACCUUUAGGUCUUCUCUGUGUAGUAAAUUGCUAAUUUAGAAAGUUUCUAGUGGUAGCCUUAUGUUUGGUACAUAAUUAAUUAAGGUCAUUCAAUUUGUAGUACCGGAACACUUCAGUUAAAUAAUAGUGGUAGGUCGGUAGUUUGUAUUUUGGUAUAUUUUUCCGGAUUGAUUGAAUUGCUAGUGAUUUUGUGUUUUCAGAUUGAAUUGUUAAGGAUGAACGUGGUAGUUUUUUUGGUUUA